rnacentral:rRNA from 1 species
CCUACGGGAGGCAGCAGUGAGGAAUAUUGGUCAAUGGGCGCGAGCCUGAACCAGCCAAGUCGCGUGAAGGAUGAAUGCUCUAUGGGUUGUAAACUUCUUUUAUAAAGGAAUAAAGUGCGGCACGUGUCCCUUUUCGCAUGUACUUUAUGAAUAAGGAUCGGCUAACUCCGUGCCAGCAGCCGCGGUAAUCCGGAGGUUCCGAGCGUUAUCCGGAUUUAUUGGGUUUAAAGGGUGCGUAGAUGGGUGUUUAAGUCAGGGGUGAAAGUUUGCGGCUAAACCGUAAAAUUGCAGUUGAUACUGGCAGUCUUGAGGAUAGUUGAGGUAGGCGGAAUGCGUGGUGUAGCGGUGAAAUGCUUAGAUAUCACGAAGAACCCCGAUUGCGAAGGCAGCUUACUAAACUGCCACUGACACUGAUGCUCGAAAGCGUGGGGAUCAAACAGGAUUAGAUACCCUAGUAGUC